AAUGAACGCUGGCGGCAUGCCUAACACAUGCAAGUCGAACGAAGGCUUCGGCCUUAGUGGCGCACGGGUGCGUAACGCGUGGGAAUCUGCCCCUGGGUUCGGAAUAACAGUGAGAAAUGACUGCUAAUACCGGAUGAUGACGUAAGUACAAAGAUUUAUCGCCGAGGGAUGAGCCCGCGUAGGAUUAGCUAGUUGGUGUGGUAAGCGCGCACCAAGGCGACGAUCCUUAGCUGGUCUGAGAGGAUGAUCAGCCACACUGGGACUGAGACACGGCCCAGACUCCUACGGGAGGCAGCAGUGGGGAAUAUUGGACAAUGGGCGAAAGCCUGAUCCAGCAAUGACGCGUGAGUGAUGAAGGCCUUAGGGUUGUAAAGCUCUUUUACCCGGGAUGAUAAUGACAGUACCGGGAGAAUAAGCUCCGGCUAACUCCGUGCCAGCCGCCGCCGUAA
rnacentral:rRNA from 1 species